rnacentral:lncRNA from 1 species
CAGGACAGUGAUUGUCAGGUGGCUGGAAACUGUUGGUGUGGCCAGUUCCAUGUCCAAAGAUGCCAGUGCGGUGGCACUGAUGGCGGUGUCGCGCUGCCACAGGGGAGGAGGCCCAGCUGACUCAGGAGAAGAUGGAGUCGCUGAGGAUGCGGUACCUCAUCGUGGGCCAGAGCAGCGCUGACACCGCUCACCGGCUGGGGCAGACCCUGGAGGCCUCGUCUCGCCUGGGCACGGCCCCUGAGGACCUGGCGCUGUGGCUGAGCCGCAUGGAGAAGGAGCUGGGCGAGCAGGAGAGCCAGCAGGACGGCCAGGAGCCCUCAGUCACUGCCAGUGACAGGGAGAAGUUUGAGCAGGUCCUGGAGUCCCAGCUCGGCCGUGUGGCUGGGCUGGGGGAGCGGCUGGAGGAGAUCGGCCGUGUGCAGCUGGAUGCUGAGGCUCUCCGCUCGCAGAUCUCCGAGCAGAAGCUGCUCUCCGCCGAGAUCCUGCAUUGCCGGGGCCUGGUUGAACGCCUGCUGGGGUUCUCGGAGCCGCUGCUGCGCUGCUGCGCCGAGCCCCUGCGGCAGCGCCUGCAGGUGAGCCGGGAGGGUGCCGGGGGUGGCUGUGCCCCGUGUCCCUGGCCACGCCGUGACUCCCGUCUCUGCAGCUCUCGGUGCAGGCGCUGCGGGAGCGCACGGAGCAGCUGUCCCUGCGCAGCAGCGCCUGUGCUGUGCAGCUGGAGCACGCCCAGUCCCUGCUCGCUCAGUUCUCUGAGGCCCUCGAGGAGCUGCUGCCCUGGCUGGAGGAGACGCAGGCCCUGGGGGUGCAGCUCUCCCCCAACGCCAUCAGCUACGAGGCCUUCAAGGAGCAGCAGGCGCUGCUGCAGGUGUGGGCAGGGGAAAACGGGGCUCGCUCGGCCACCCCACAGGGGAGUGGAGAGGUGA